rnacentral:rRNA from 1 species
UGUCAAAUCAUCAUGCCCCUUAUGUCUUGGGCUACACACGUACUACAAUGGCGACGAACAGAGGGAAGCGAAACCGCGAGGCGGAGCAAAUCCCCAAAAGUCGUCCCAGUUCGGAUUGCAGGCUGAAACUCGCCUGCAUGAAGUCGGAAUUGCUAGUAAUCGCGGAUCAGCAUGCCGCGGUGAAUACGUUCCCGGGCCUU